rnacentral:lncRNA from 1 species
GACCUAGCUUCUGCCCUCGUGGAGCUUACAGCGUGGGGCGAAAGGAGACUGAUCAAAAUGCCACACACAUGUAAUUUACAACCUUGGGAAGUGCCAAGAAGGGGAAGUGUUGGGUGCCACUGAGAACAUUCACAGAGGUUAACCUGGGGCUGAGGUGGAGGAAAGGUCAGAUGGAAGCUGUCUAACCACCCUGGGCUUCUGGCUUAGGAUGUGUAGGGCUAGCAGCUCAGCCCAUGAGGUUGUGUCUUGAACUUGGGUAUUGAUGGAAUAGCUAUAGAAACAGAACAACCAUGAAGUGAAGAUGGUGAAUGAAGAUCCUCUCAUCAGCUUGCGAUUGCAUGACAGAGGAGGCUGCAAGGACACUCAGGUGUGAAGACGGGGCAUGCAGAAGGAAGAGAGCCUUCCAGAGGAAAGUCGCCUUGUUCCUUGCUUUGUGACCCUCAUCUCCAAGGUUCCGGGUGAGAGCUAGCCAGCUCUGCAUUUGGAGCAGAGAGAGGAGUCCAUUCAACAUGGCAAUGCCCACUGGAGUUGGAGGCACACUUCAUUUCUCUGCCCAGCUCGGCAGGCGGCUGGAGCAAACCAGGAGAUCGCCUCAAAUGUUUUAAAUGUCAAUAUGGUCCCUUCUUGCUGGCUUGCCAAGAUUUGACCAGCUAAAUUGGCCUGUGUGGUGUGUUCCCUGCAGUGCACGGUGAGAUAAAAAUGACUGGGCAUCCAGAUUAAUGACUGGAUCACAUGCAGGAACGUACUGGCUGUGAGCAGCCCUGGGCCAGGGCAGAGGUGAACUUGACAAUCAUGUGGACGCUGGCUUUUGAUUACUGCUUCUUCUGGGCUCACGCUACCCAGGGCUCUCUUUAGACCAUCUCUAGGUGAACUUUCUGCCCCAGGAAUGAUCACCUCCAUUUUACUGGAAAUAGCCCUGGAGCAGCUGACCGGUUCUAGGAGCUGAGAACAGGGUGAUGGGUAAGAGGGACAAGGGCUUGCUCUCACGGUGUUUACAUUCUAGUGGGGGCAGGAGACAAGUCAACAGAUCAAUAAUUUCAGA